rnacentral:rRNA from 1 species
GACGAACGCUGGCGGCGUGGAUUAGGCAUGCAAGUCGAACGGUAUCAUCCUUUCGGGGGUGAGAGAGUGGCGAACUGGUGAGUAACACGUAGGUUAUCUACCCUCAAGACGGGGACAACCCAGGGAAACUUGGGCUAAUACCGGAUGUGAGCAACUUUUAGUUGUUUGAAAGGUGGCGUAAGCUGUCGCUUGGGGAUGAGCCUGCGUCCUAUUAGUUAGUUGGUGAGGUAACGGCUCACCUAGGCAAUGAUAGGUAGGCGGCCUUAACGGGUGGUCGCCCACACUGGGAUUGAGAUACGGCCCAGACUCCUACGGGAGGCAGCAGUCGAGAAUAGUCUACAAUGGUCGGAAGACUGAUAGUGCGACGCCGCGUGAACGAUGAAUCCCUUCGGGGUUAAAGUUCUUUUAUAUGUGAGCAGUGCUUCUAUAUUAACAGUAUGGGGAAGAGAUAUUAGCAUAUGAAUAAGCAAACGGCUAAACUCCGUGCCAGCAAGCCGACGGUAAUAC